rnacentral:rRNA from 1 species
CAAUUUAAUUUGAAAUUAAUUAUUUAUUGUUUUUAAUUAUUUAAAAAUUUAUAAAAGAAAUAAAUAUUGGUUUUAUUAAGGGUAUUGAAAAAAUUAAAAUAAUUAUAGUUAAAAGUAUUGUGUAAGAAAAUUUUUAAUUAAAAAAUAGAUAAAUUAAUUAUUUGUACCUUGUGUAUCAGGGUUUAUUAAAAUAUAGUUUAAUAUUAAAUUUUCUCGAAUUUAAAAGAGCUAAAAAAAUAUAAUUUUUAUUGUUGAAUAAAUAUAUUUAAUAUUUUUUUAGUAAUGAAAUGUUAUUCGUUUUUAAAUAUAUCUAGUUUUUUAAGAAAAAAAUUCAAUUUUUUUAUUAUUAAUAUAAUUUUAUAUUUUUAAUUUUAUAUUAAUAAUAGUCAAUAUUUUUAGGGAUGAGCUUAAAAAUAUAUAUUUAUUAAAAAUUUUUAAUUUAUAUAAAAAUUUUAGAAUUAAUAAUAUUCAAAAUUAAAGUUUUUUAUAAUUUAUUUUAUUUAAGAUAUAAUUUUUAUUUUUUAUAAAUAUUUUAUUAAAAUAUAAUUUUUAAUUAAAAAAAAAUUAGUAAUAAUGAUAAAAUUAGUAUAAUUUUAUUGUUUAAAUAAAUUGAUUAUUAAGGUUAAUUUAAAGAAUUCGGCAAAUUAUUUUCCACCUGUUUAUUAAAAACAUGGCUUUUUGUUUAAAAUUUAAAGUCUAGCCUGCCCACUGAAUUUAUAAUUUUAAAUGGCCGCGGUAUUUUGACCGUGCUAAGGUAGCAUAAUCAUUAGUUUUUUAAUUGAAAGCUGGUAUGAAAGGUUGAAUGAGAAAAUUACUGUUUCAGAUUAAUUAUAUUAGAAUUUUAUUUUUAAGUUAAAAAUCUUAAAUAUUUUUAAAAGACGAGAAGACCCUAUAGAGUUUAAUAAUUUAUAUUAAUUUUAAAUUAAGAAUUAAAUUUAUAUUUAAUAUAUAUUAUUUAAUUGGGGUGAUUGAAAAAUUUAAUAAACUUUUUUUUAUUAUUAUAUAAAUUUAUAAAUAUAUGAGCCUAAUUAUUUGGAUUAUAAGAAUAAAUUACCUUAGGGAUAACAGCGUAAUUUUGUUAGAGAGUUCUUAUCGAUAGCAAGGAUUGCGACCUCGAUGUUGGAUUAAAAUAAAUUUUUGGUGUAGAAGCUAAAAUAAUUAAGUCUGUUCGACUUUUAAAAUUUUACAUGAUCUGAGUUUAAACCGGUGUGAGCCAGGUUGGUUUCUAUCUUUAAAUUAUUAAUAUAUUUUAGUACGAAAGGACCAAUUAUAUUUAAUUUUUAAUUAAAUUGGAAUAAAAAUAAUUAUUUUGGCAGAUUAGUGCAUUGGAUUUAGAAUCUAAAAAUGUAAUUUAUAAUUACAA